UUGUAUCCAAGCCGAAAAAUUCUAGAUAUAAGCCUCACACCCAUUUAAAAACAUGUCGUUUUAUUUUUUUAUCCACGUAAUGAAAAUGAUUCCAGAUGUAUUUGUAAGUAAAAUAAGAUAAAAUGAUAAAAUGACAUAUUUU